GGGAAUUUUGCGCAAUGGGCGAAAGCCUGACGCAGCAACGCCGCGUGAGUGAUGAAGGCCCUCGGGUCGUAAAGCUCUGUCAGAGGGGAAGAACCUCCUGUCGGUUAAUACCCGGCAGGCCUGACGGUACACUCAAAGGAAGCACCGGCUAACUCCGUGCCCGCAGCCGCGGUAAUACGGAGGGUGCGAGCGUUGUUCGGAAUUAUUGGGCGUAAAGCGCGUGCAGGCGGUCUGUUAAGUCUGAUGUGAAAGCCCCGGGCUCAACCUGGGAAGUGCAUUGGAAACUGGCAGACUUGAGUACGGGAGAGGGUAGUGGAAUUCCGAGUGUAGGGGUGAAAUCCGUAGAUAUUCGGAGGGACACCGGUGGCGAAGGCGGCUACCUGGACCGAUACUGACGCUGAGACGCGAAAGCGUGGGGAGCAAAC
rnacentral:rRNA from 1 species